rnacentral:lncRNA from 1 species
CACACUUUUUCAGGUAAAUUUGAAUUUCAAACGGUCAUAUUUUUGUGUCUAACGGAUCUAUUGCUUUUUGGACUAUAAAAGGGAGCUUUUAAGUGCCUUCCAACAACUUCUCACCAACCCAACACAAGAUCAUUCAAGAGAGAAGAAAGAAAAAGAGGUUCAAGGGAGUUAGAGCUUUCAAGAGGAGAAAUCAAGUGCAUUCAAGCUUUCCCAUCUGAUUUCGUGCUCAACUACUCACUCCCACUCGGCAUUCAAA